ensembl:lncRNA
GAGGAGAAUCCCGUCGGCUGCAUUUCGUCUCUUGCUGAUCUGCUGCACUGGAUGUCGUGGAGAAGCAACGUGAUGAGUGACGCCUUGGAGAUUCUCUCUGCUUGAAAGUUGACCAACAGACAUCAUAAGGAGCUCUGUGAUAGACUGGUGACCUGUCCAGGGUGUCCCCUGCCUUCAUCAUAAGUCAGCUGGGAUAGACUCCAGCCCCCCCACAACCCUAAUGAGGAUUAAACGAUGCAUGGACUGAAGAAGAGACAGGUCAAUGGAAGACAAUGUUAUUUUAUUUAGCUGAGAACUGCUUGCAGCCAUCCAGUGUUUUUUUUAAUAGCGCUAGCAUGGUCUAAUGGUUGUGGCUGGAUUUGGUUUUGUU